rnacentral:tRNA from 1 species
GAACAGCUGUUUUAGGCUGAUGCAGACGCCCGCCUCGCACGCGGGAGGUCGGGGGUUCAAAUCCCCCCCGGUCCA